rnacentral:rRNA from 1 species
CAGCCGCCGCGGGAAUACGUAGGGUGCAAGCGUUAAUCGGAAUUACUGGGCGUAAAGCGUGCGCAGGCGGUCCGCUAAGACAGAUGUGAAAUCCCCGGGCUUAACCUGGGAACUGCAUUUGUGACUGGCGAGCUAGAGUAUGGCAGAGGGGGGUAGAAUUCCACGUGUAGCAGUGAAAUGCGUAGAGAUGUGGAGGAAUACCGAUGGCGAAGGCAGCCCCCUGGGCCAAUACUGACGCUCAUGCACGAAAGCGUGGGGAGCAAACAGGACUAGAUACCCGAGUAGUCCCUGUCUCUUAUAC